rnacentral:tRNA from 1 species
GUCUAGGGUAGCCUAGUGGACAUGGCAUCUGCCCGGUAAGCGGAACACAGUGGGUUCGAUUCCCAUCCCUGGACA